rnacentral:rRNA from 1 species
AAAUUGAAGAGUUUGAUCAUGGCUCAGAUUGAACGCUGGCGGCAGGCCUAACACAUGCAAGUCGAACGGUAACAGGAAGAAGCUUGCUUCUUUGCUGACGAGUGGCGGACGGGUGAGUAAUGUCUGGGAAACUGCCUGAUGGAGGGGGAUAACUACUGGAAACGGUAGCUAAUACCGCAUAACGUCGCAAGACCAAAGAGGGGGACCUUCGGGCCUCUUGCCAUCGGAUGUGCCCAGAUGGGAUUAGCUUGUUGGUGGGGUAA